AUUGAACGCUGGCGGCAGGCCUCACACAUGCAAGUCGAGCGGAGCGGCGGACGGGUGAGUAAUGCCUAGGAAUCUGCCUGGUAGUGGGGGAUAACGUCCGGAAACGGGCGCUAAUACCGCAUACUAUCAGAUGAGCCUAGGUCGGAUUAGCUAGUUGGUGGGGUAAAGGCCUACAAAGGCGACGAGCCGUAACUGGUCGGAGAGGAUGAUCAGUCACACUGGAACUGAGACACGGUCCAGACUACUACGGUAGGCAGCAGUGGGGAAUAUUGGACAAUGGGCGAAAGCCUGAUUCAGCCAUGCCGCGUGUGUGAAGAAGGUCGUCGGAUUGUAAAGCACUUUAAGUUGGGAGGCGCUCACAACAGAAUAAGCACCGGCUAACCGCGUGUCAGCCGCCGCGGUAAUAC
rnacentral:rRNA from 1 species